rnacentral:lncRNA from 1 species
UUAUUUUCUUUUCUUAAUCAAACUUCAAUCAAUUUAACUUUACUUAAAGUCUCUUUUUUCAAUAUUAAAAAACACAAACAAACACUUAUUUGCCACUUGGCUUUUCAUUUUAAAACCUUUUUCAAAACUAAUAAAAAACAUAAAAACCAAUCAAACGUCAUUUUCUACCCUGAACUACGAGGUUUUGAUCCCUCACGGGUACGUAGGCAGAGGACAAUCGUCCUUUCAAAUCAAUAAAAAUGUAGAUAAUUAGGUCUUUAUUUUUAUCAUUUUCACUCUAAUUUCUUUUUUAAGCAAGCAAGUUAUAGCACAUUAAUUAAAUAAAAUCAAGAGGUUCUCGUAGAGUACUACGAAUAUUUAGGGUGCUAAUACUUUCCCUAAAUAUAACCAACCCCCGAACCCUAAAUCUUCUCAACAUGGGGUGUUUUGAACUUUUUCCCCUUUUUCUUAAAAAAUUAAAUGUUCAGUCGUGAAAUAAUUAGCGAGUCAAAAGCUAAUCAAAUAGCCUUGAUCUCCGAAAAAUGACGCGACAGAAAUGGCGACUUCACUGGGGAUCCCCCCUAAGAGGGUUGAGCCUAACUUGACUUUAUUUAAUUCUUUGUGCUAUAACUUGCUAAAAAAAAUAAAAAAAAUAAAAGAUGGAAAUACUUGUAUAUAUGUUCUUCCUUCUUCUUCCUUCUUUCUAACGUGAGUGGUGAGAUAAGUCCUACACCCGGACUUGAGAGAAAUUUAAGAUAGGACGGUGGUAUAAUCAUAGUUCCAUGCCAAGAGUACUCUUCGGUAUUGGUACAUGUGAUAACCCCACUCAACGGAGGGAUCUUGGAAGUAUAUGUGGUCAACGUGAGUACUCAUGUUUGGCAUGCUAUUUUCAAGGGACCAUUGAAGUUGAGGACCUUUAGUCACCUUUAACCCAUCUUGGCCUUUUAGGACGUAGUGCGGUGGCUAAUCGAGAGUACUCUUGAAUUAGUUGAUACGCGAUACUACACCCAAACGAGACUUUCCGACGGAUGUUAAUUGCAAUGGGAGUACUCCCGUCACCCGAUAAAUAUUCAGAAGUGGUUAAUGAGUUUGGGAACUUGGUAGAACCCUUGUUACAAGUGCAAUUUGAAACCAUAGUCCUUACCAAAUGGCGUGUUUACCCUUGACUCCAACAUUGUGGACUUAACCUCACCAUGCAUUCCACAUUCUUUAGCAUAAUCAUGCAUACAUGCAUUCAUACAUAAGAAAAAAUUCUCACUAAUAUCGAAGGACUUAGAUAAGUUUUUGUAAACAUCAAAGAUGUGGACCUCGUAAGAAAGAACACCAAGAAAUACAACUUCAAAAAUCUUAACUAAGCUUUAGGUUUUGUUAAGAACUUUUUUCCUUGGUUUCGUUCUUACUUUUGAAAAGGGAACCAAUUACAACAUCUUCACAAUUUUCAAAUAAAACAAUGUUCCUUAUCAAGUUUACAAUUACUUUGACAAGUCCUUCAAAAAAAUGUGUCUAUUUUUGCAUAAGCAUAGAAUGCAUCACUUUGCAUUCAGGUCUGAGUGUUACACUGUGUCUUUUCUACUAAGGGUCAAUCCAUCUCAAAGGUGUCCCAACUGUCCUCGUCCAAAGCCAACUCGCACUUACAACACUCGUGCAAACAAAAAGAAAGAACAUAUCAGUUUGAACAAGAAAUCCACGAGCAUUCGUGAAGAGGUAACAACACUAUUGACGUUCCUUCCACCACUUUUUGUUCAAAUAAUGUUUGUUUGUUGCUUUUCUCUUUUCAAAGAACAUCCUUUCGUCCCGCCUGAGGUGAAAGUGAACUGGUGUAGGGCUUUUUGCUUUAAGAAUUGUCAUCAUUAAUAAAAAGGUCGUUUUGAUCCCGACUUGGUUUUCAUUUUGUGCUUUUCUCUGGAAAAAUGGUAAUACAAAAAACUCAAAAAGUAAUAAUCAUUUUCAAAUAUCUGCAUAACCAUAACUUGUUCUUACUUGCCAAAAUCAAUAAAUAAAUCAUGCAUUAAUAAAUUCGUUGAACACAUUUACCAUGUACUCUCUUCCAACUUUGAGUUCCUUGUAUUCGAAGCUGAAGAAGACAAGAAUGAAGAGACUCCCGACAUGAUCUCUCACAUACUGGGGCAUCUUAGCCGUCAAAGCUGCGAACAAAAUAUCAAAGAAGAUUGCCCAGAAGAUGGCUUUCAUUUACAAAGACUGGCACGAAAUGCUACCAUUUGCACUUCAUGAGUAUUGUACUUCAGUACACACUUCAACAGGGGCAACCCCCUCUUUCAUUAACAUACAUCAUGAAGGCCAUGCUUCCUGUGGAGGUCGAAGUCCCGACAAUAAGAGUUCUGCUGAAAUCCAAGCUUGAUUGAAUUUAAAUACAUGACGAACUUGUACAACCAUGUCAAAAGAGGUUGAAACAAACUUCCAACAAGAAGGUUCGUCCCCACAAAAUUCAAGAAAGAGACUUUGUGCCCAAAAAGGUGCUACCUUUCCAACCAGACUCCAGGAGCAAGUGGACGCCUAACUAUGAAGGCUCAUGUGCAAUGAAUUUUACAACUAUGGAUGGUGACAAACUUGUACUUCCUAUGAAUGCCGGUGUAGUCAAGAAAUACUCUGUCAAAUAUAAAAGCUCGAUAAGUCGCAAACCUGAAAAGGCGGCUUAGGCAAAAAUGAGCGUCUCGGUGGACUGAAAACCCAAAAGGGCGGUCCAGGCAAAAGUUAGAGACAUUAUCCUGAUAGAUUUAAAACCCGAAAGGGCGAUCUAUGCAAAAGUUAAGGAUCAAAAGACAAAGUAACUGCAUCCGGUCGGGCACAAUCCACUUGGGGCAUCCAGCUAUCAAAAGACCUCCGAUUCGAAGCAUCUGCAAAUCAAAGACUUGGAACAGGGGCAUUCAAAGUUGUUAGGGAGAAUAGCGGUUAUUUGUGUUCAAUGUACCCUUCCCAUUACAUUUACCAUUUUUCCAAAAAUUUUCAAAAUUCCGUGGAUCCAUGCCCUUGGCAGGUCACCACUCAAUUCAUCAAAAUUUGAGCCUGUGCCCAUUUAUUUGGAACUCUCAUCUAUUCUAUUUGCAUAAUUUCUUCUAUUUUUGAUGGCAGUACUUAAAGCAAAAAUUUUCAAAAAUACAAAACUUGUUUUACAUCUUUUGAAAAGUGUGCACAACAAACACACUCUCUUUGAACUCAUGAGUAGGUGAAGCGUACAUCAACAUUCGCCUCGAGAACGGUUACACUCCGGAAGAGAAACAUGGCUAGGCACUACGGAAAGGACCUCUACUUUGAGCAAGAUGUUGUCACAGUCGAAAAAUACAAAAAAAAAAAAGAAAUGCAAAAAAAAAAAUCAAAGCUCGCUAAGUUGAAAACCUGAAAAGGCGGCUUAAGCAAUAGAGAGCGUCCCGGUGGACUGAAAACCCCAAAGGGCGGUCCAGGCAAAAAUUAGGGGCACAAAAAAGAAUAUAAUCCCGGUGGACUGAAAAUUUGAAAGGACGGUCCAGGCAAAAGUUAGGGAUUUUUCUAUAAAAAAAAAAAUAACUGCUGAAACAUACCAAUGGAGGAACACUCUGUGCCGGUUUACAAAUGGCGACUUCUUCCAAACUUUUUAUCAACAAUGGGCUUACCCCAAGGUGGCAUCAAUUGCUACCUCGUGCCAGGUUCUUACACCGUCAACGGCUCGAUUUGUUCACAAUAGUAUCAUCUCCAAGGAAGUUUGCUGAGUGUUUAUACUGCGAUGUCAGUCCGUCUCCCAUCUGACUUGUCUUGUCUCGGUUCAUCGAGUCACAUGUCAUAUACAGUCAUGCAGUCAUACAUUCACACAGUCACACAUUCAUACAUUCAUACAAUCAUGCAUUCAUCAAUAUUUUCACAUAUUCGUACGUUUAUACGUACACAUCAUAUGCACAACAUCAAUUCACACAUAAUUGCAUCAAUCGUCCAGAAUCUCGAUUCGGUCAUGUCUCUCCAGUUCAGUCUUAACUUACCAUUGUGUCAAGCCGCAAGUUUCUACAAAUAAGCCUCUUCCAUUUACCUUCUUAUUGUCAAAGUGUCAUCCCCGGUGUGAAGCCGUGCUAGUCAUGACACUAAUCAAACUUCAAUUUCAACUCUCAAUAGUGUCAUCCCCAGUGUGACUGACCAAGUUGUCCUUUCAUUCUUACCUUUGUUAAGCUAUCUCAUCGAUAGUUAGGUAAAAGUAUCAUUUGUCUUUGUUAAGCUAUCAUUUCAACGAUAGUUAGACGAUGGUUUUUCUUUCAUUCUUACCUUUGUUAAGCUAUCUCAUCGAUAGUUAGGUAAAAGUAUAAUUUGUCUUUGUUAAGCUAUCAUUUCAACGGUAGUUAGACGAUGGUUUUUCUCUCAUUCUUACCUUUGUUAAGCUAUCUCAUCGAUAGUUAGGUAAAAGUAUCAUUUGUCUUUGUUAAACUAUCAUUUCAACGGUAGUUAGACGAUGGUUUUUCUUUCAUUCUUACCUUUGUUAAGCUAUCUCAUCGACGAUGGUUUUUCUCUCAUUCUUACCUUUGUUAAGCUAUCUCAUCGAUAGUUAGGUAAAAGUAUCAUUCGUCUUUGUUAAGCUAUCAUUUCAACGAUAGUUAGACGAUGAUUUUUCUCUCAUUCUUACCUUUGUUAAGCUAUCUCAUCGAUAGUUAGGUAAAAGUAUCAUUUGUCUUUGUUAAGCUAUCAUUUCAACGAUAGUUAGACGAUGGUUUUUCUCUCAUUCUUACCUUUGUUAAGCUAUCUCAUCGAUAGUUAGGUAAAAGUAUCAUUUGUCUUUGUUAAGCUAUCAUUUCAACGAUAGUUAGACGAUGGUUUUUCUUUCAUUCUUACCUUUGUUAAGCUAUCUCAUCGAUAGUUAGGUAAAAAUAUCAAUCGUCUCUGUUCAGCUAUCAAUACGAUAGUAGACAAUCAUUUUCCCCAAUGAAACUAUAUUCCCCUAACGGAGUCGGACCCCUUUUUCUUCAACGAAUUAGGGUAUCCCGUUAUUGUUUCUCAUUCCAGUCAAAUCACAUUUGUCGUCCUGCAUUCAUACUUGCAUCACAUGCAUUCAUAACAUCUUAGGUCAAAAAUGGCGUACUUUGUAUUUAAGUCUCUUCGACUCGUCAAAUCAAAGAUUUCAUCUUCAAAUCUCCGGACGAAGAAACUUAAAUAGGGGCAUCUGUCAUACCCCAAUUUUUGACCUAAGGCCCCACUGACACAUGUCACUCGACUCUGAUUGAUCUCUGAUUUUUUAGUAAAAAAAUUCGGCAGGGAGGUAUUUUAAAAUACCUCAUUUUUUUGAUUUCGAGUCGGACCCUCUUUUCUCUUUUUUAUUUUCUUUCCAUCUUUUAUUAAUUUUAAUUUUAAGAUAAGUUACUUUUUUUAUAUUUAAUAAUUUUUAAUUUCCAUCUUUUAAUUUUAUUUUUCUUUACAUAAUUUAGUUUAAUUUGUUUUUAUUUUUAUUUCGUAUUAGAUUUAUUUUAUUUUUAUUUUAUUUCUUUUUAAUUAAUUAGUGUCCAAAAAAACAAAGUGUCAAUAGGUCCAAAAAUAAAAUGCCCAAGGUCUAAAAAAAAAUUCAAAUCAAAGUGUCAACUUUAACAUUCCUUUUUCAAAAUUCACAUAAUUGUCCAUCAUUUCCAUUAAACCAAUUUUCCUUUUUUCAUCAAACUCCUGACCUAUAAAUAGAGCCCUCAUUCCACACAAUUUCACACACCAAAAGUUCUCUUGAGUAGUCAAAGAACUUUUCUCUCUUCUCCCUCUUUAGCUUGUGUUGACGAGCUAUUCUUUUCUUCUCCCUCUUUUUUCUGUCCCUUCGGAAUAAGUCCCUUCGGAAAAGUCCCUUCAGUAAUUUUUGCCCCUUCGGUUGUCAAUUUCUUUUAUUUUCUUGCAUUUUAUUUCUUUUUAGCAUUUUUGCAUUUUUUUAAUUUCUAUUUAGCAUUUUAAUUAUUGUUAUUUAUUUUCCAGCAAUUAGAAUGUAUUUAGGUCCAAUGUAAAUAUAAAUGAGAAAAGUGUGUGGGUGUGUGUGUGUGUCAUUUUAUUUCUUUACCGCCUUAGAUAUAUCCAAAAAUGCAAAAAAAUUAGAUUAGGGAUUUUGUGGUGAUCCAACGUCACUACAAAAAUCCACGCGCUUUUAUUUUUAUUGCUCCGUUAGUUUAAUUUUUAUUUAAUAUUCCAAAAAAACAACAAAAAACAUGCAAAUAAUCAAAAUCACAAAAAUAUUUUCAUAAUAAACCUUGAUCCAAAUCAAGUGACCGCAUUUUUAUUUUCUUUUCUUAAUCAAACUUCAAUCAAUUUAACUUUACUUAAAGUCUCUUUUUUCAAUAUUAAAAAACACAAACAAACACUUAUUUGCCACUUGGCUUUUCAUUUUAAAACCUUUUUCAAAACUAAUAAAAGACAUAAAAAUCAAUCAAACGUCAUUUUCUACCCCGAACUACGAGGUUUUGAUCCCUCACGGGUACGUAGGCAGAGGAC